GAUGGCAAACACCAGUUCCUCUCUACAACAGAUCCUGUGACCUGAUAAGCCCCACCAGCACAGUGCUGCAGGAAGACAGUUAUACCAGAGCACGUGUUGGAGAGGAGGGGAGACUCUAUGAGCCAUCAAGUGCCUUCACAAUUAACAGUCCACAGUGUGGUCAGAAGCAGUUUAUUUUGGCUUGGCUGUGAGGAGAAGGGAUAUGUGUAAAGGAUCAGUUUCAUUGUAAAGAACACACUUAAAGUUGAGGUGGGAGUGAGUGGCUAAGAGUGGGAACCUCUUCAAUUGGCUUUGUGACAUGUCCUGAGCAACCUGCUCUAGGUGUCCCUGCUUGAGCAGACGGGUGGAUCAGAUGACCUCCAGAGGUAACUUCCAACCCCAGUUAUCUGUGAGUCUGUCAUUGC
rnacentral:lncRNA from 1 species